GAAUUUUACCAUAUAGUACCCUUCAUCGUGAUAAUACAAUUCAGGAGCUGGAACGCAAGUCCAAGUUUGAGCAAUAUACCUUUUCACAUAGUUAUAUCUCGACAUGUCUCCAAUAAAUAUAGAAUCAGUGAAUGUUCUCAUUUAAGCUCUUCCUUCUAUUGUUCCUAUACAUCUAACUUCACAACAGGGCUUCCAUUGACCAUUUCUGGUGUGACAUAAUUCAAAGCCAUUUCAGGAGCAGCAACACAAGUUCAAGUUUGAGCAAUAUACCUUUUCACAUAGUUGUAUCUCGACAUUUCUCCAAUAACAUAUAAAAUCAGUGAAUGUUCCCAUUUAAGCUCUUCCUUCUAUUGUUCCUAUAUAUCUAACUCACAACAUGGCUUCCAUUGACUAUUUCUGGUGUGAUAUAAUUCAAAGCCAUUUCGUUACUUGCAACUCUAUUACCAGCGGAGAGGUUUACCCAUGGGUUCUCCUUGGUCACUCCAACUAAGAUUCCAAAUCAACAGUUUGCCCCUUCAUCGGUUAGUCCCACCUUGAUCAACCAAUAGAACAAUGUUCAAUGGAGCAAUGGGUGUGGAGAUAUUGCUCAACGGUAUUGAAGAGCACACUACUACUUAAACUGUCUUUGGACUCCAAUUUAAGCUCAUAUAAGCAGAAUUAGAUGGACCUAUAUGUUCAGAAGUCCUCAUCCCAAAACUCAUCUUCUCUGAUAUCUCUUUGUUCGAUGUUGCUUCACUUCCCGAGCUCCCAAAAUUCGUGGUUAGAAUUUAGAUCCUUCCUAGGUCUCCCUCGCCGCCUCUUCCAUACCCACCACAGUGUACGACAGCAAGAUCUACGUCGAGAGCACAUCAGAGGGGAGAGAGAAACUUGCUUACUAUUUUGGUUAAUUACGAUAAAGUUGUUAAUAAACCAAUCGAGUUCAUUAAACAUAAUUUGAACUCAUAAACACGAACUCAAACUUCAUAAUCAAUUUUAUCUAAAAUAUUUUCUGAGUUCUCAUAUUUCAC
rnacentral:lncRNA from 1 species